UACGUAGGGGGCAAGCGUUGUCCGGAAUUAUUGGGCGUAAAGCGCGUGUAGGCGGCUCGAUAAGUCUGCUGUGAAAGUUCAGGGCUCAACCCUGAAAUGCCGGUGGAAACUGUCGAGCUAGAGUACGGAAGAGGUGAGUGGAAUUCCUGGUGUAGCGGUGAAAUGCGCAGAUAUCAGGAGGAACACCAAUGGCGAAGGCAGCUCACUGGGACGUUACUGACGCUGAGACGCGAAAGCGUGGGGAGCAAACAGG
rnacentral:rRNA from 1 species